rnacentral:rRNA from 1 species
UGGGGAAUAUUGCACAAUGGAGGGAACUCUGAUGCAGCGACGCCGCGUGAACGAAGAAGGCUUUCGAGUCGUAAAGUUCUUUUAUAUGAGAAGAUAAUGACGGUAUCAUAGGAGGAAGCCCUGGCUAAAUACGUGCCAGCAGCCGCGGUAAUACGUAUGGGGCGAGCGUUGUCCGGAAUUAUUGGGCGUAAAGGGUACGUAGGCGGUUUUUUAAGUCAGGUGUCAAAGCGUGGAGCUUAACUCCAUUAAGCACUUGAAACUGAAAGACUUGAGUGAAGGAGAGGAAAGUGGAAUUCCUAGUGUAGCGGUGAAAUGCGUAGAUAUUAGGAGGAAUACCGGUGGCGAAGGCGACUUUCUGGACUUUUACUGACGCUCAGGUACGAAAGCGUGGGGAGCAAACAGG